rnacentral:tmRNA from 1 species
GACCUUCAAUUCUUAACCCACAGCGCCUAUAUUAUCGAGGCCGGGCAACCGGCUAUGGCGAUAAACGGCUUCGUAAUAAGCGGCCCGGACCCGGGGGCGGUACCCGGCGCCUCCACCAAAAGCACUCCCGCUCAGGAGUGUUUCUGUGGGGGCGAAACAGGAUCGACGGACGUGUAAAGGCUGUCCUUUCGCUCGGUAUGGUAUCCGCCGUUAUCGGGCUAAUCGUACAGGUGCCAACGACAACGAAAUGGCCCUCGCUGCCUAAUUAGGUAAGCGCGGUUCAGGGGGGCACCGGGCAACAGAAGCCCCCCACU